ACCCCAAGAUGGCGGCGCCCAGAUGGGGAGGCGGUAGCUGAGGGCGUGCGAGGUGCGGCCGCGCCUUCCUGCGCGCAGAAUGGACACCGUAGCACUGAGAAUGCAGUCGGUUUGUCGGAGAUUUGGUGCCUGUUCCACAUGUUUGAACAGACAACUGAAUGGCUUCUUGGGACUCAGGAACCGGACUCCUCUGCCAUCUCAUGCUUGUAUCAGAACUAUUUACAGCGAGACGGGGAGAUGGGAGAAAAACUAUGGGCAGGAAACAAGGAGAAGAGUGGAAAACUGGUGGUUCCCAAGAAUAAAGGAGCAGUUCUGCAGAAUUUCAGAAACAGAUAAAUCAAGACCAAAAUUUUAUGUGCUUUCUAUGUUCCCAUAUCCCUCUGGAAAACUUCACAUGGGUCAUGUUCGUGUCUACACCAUCAGUGAUACUGUUGCUCGGUUCCAGAAGAUGAGAGGGAUGCAGGUGCUAAAUCCAAUGGGAUGGGACGCAUUUGGUUUACCAGCAGAAAAUGCAGCAAUUGAGCAUGGUCUUCACCCUGCAAGCUGGACACAAAGUAAUAUUCAACACAUGAGGGAACAGUUUGAUGCACUAGGUCUGUCAUUCACUUGGGAAAGGGAAAUAACCACUUGUUUACCAGAGUACUACAAAUGGACGCAGUACCUCUUUCUUAAGCUUUUUGAGUCUGGGAUGGUGUAUCAAAAAGAGGCCUUGGUCAAUUGGGAUCCAGUAGAUCAAACUGUUCUAGCUAAUGAACAGGUGGAUGACAAUGGUUGCUCAUGGCGUUCAGGAGCAAAAGUGGAACAGAAGUACCUCAAACAAUGGUUUAUCAAAACUACUGCGUAUGCAAAGGCUAUGUUUGAUGCUUUGUCUGACCUCCCAGAAUGGUAUGGUAUAAAAGAAAUGCAAGCAAAUUGGAUAGGUGACUGUGUUGGAUGCUCCCUUGACUUCUUGCUGAAGGUUAAUGGUGAAGUAACAGGAGAGAAGUUGGCUGCUUACACCUACACUCCUGAAGCCAUUUAUGGAGCUUCCCAUUUAUAUAUCUUACCAAGUCAUAGACUGCUGCAUGGAAAUAGCAGUCUGAAGGAAGUCUUUCAGAGGGAGUUCAUCCCAGGGAAAGACUCACUCACGUCUGUGACGGCUGUGAACUUGCUUACCAAUCAAGAGAUCCCUGUAGUAAUCUCAGGAAAAACAAGUUUUGAGAACUAUCUUGAUACAAAAAUAGGAAUUCCUUGUACUAGUGCAGAAGAUGCUGCAGUAGCAAAGAAUUUGAACAUUUCUUUCACUGAAGUCAUUGAAAAACUGCCAAAUGGUUUGGAGAAAGUCAUUAAUUCUGGGGAGUUCACAGGCAUGACUCGACAAGAUGCUUUAAAAGCUCUUACCCAGCAGGCCAAAAAUAAAGGAAUAGGUGGAGACCUGAUGAGUGACAAAUUAAGGGACUGGUUAAUAUCUCGACAGCGGUACUGGGGAACACCUAUUCCUGUUAUCCACUGCCGAACAUGUGGCACUGUUCCGGUGCCUUAUGAAGACUUACCUGUGGUGCUGCCCAAUGUAACCACUUUUACAGGGAAGGGAGCCUCACCUUUAGAAACUGUUCCAGAAUGGGUGAACUGUGCUUGUCCAAGAUGUAAGGCAGAAGCUAGGCGAGAAAUUGAUACCAUGGAUACAUUUGUGGAUUCUGCUUGGUAUUACCUGAGAUACACAGAUCCUCACAACACUCAGAGGCCCUUUAAUCGUGACUUGGCUGACUACUGGAUGCCUGUGGAUUUGUACAUUGGAGGCAAGGAGCACGCAGUUAUGCACUUAUUCUAUGCUAGGUUUUUCAGCCAUUUUUGCCAUGAUCUAAAGAUGACCAAACACAAGGAGCCUUUCCAUAAGCUUUUGGUUCAAGGUCUUAUCAAGAAUCAGACGUUCAGACUAAGAACAACAGGCCAGUAUUUGAAGAGAGAGGAGAUUGAUCUCACUGGCACUGAACCAGUUCACCUAAAAAGUGGUGAGAAAGUCCAAGUCACUUGGGAAAAAAUGAGCAAAUCUAAGCACAAUGGAAUAGAUCCUGAAGAACUAAUGAAAGAGUAUGGCAUCGACACCAUACGUCUUUACAUUCUGUUUGCUGCUCCUCCAGAACAAGAUAUUUUAUGGGAUACUAAGACUGAUGCUAUGCCAGGUGUUCAGAGAUGGCAGACUCGCCUCUGGACACUUGUAACCAAACUUAUCGAGGCAAGGACUUCGGAAACCAUGCCCAAUCCUGAGGUUCUGAGUAAGAAACAGAAGGCUGAAGCCAGAAGGAUCUGGGAGCAAAAGAAUCUUGUAAUUUCUGAGGUAACAGAGUACUUCACAAAGGAUCAUUUGUUCAAUGCAGCUAUUUCUCGCCUGAUGAGCCUUUCUAACGUACUCCAUCAAGCUUCUUGGCCUCUUGUUCUUCACAGUGCAGAAUAUGAAGAUGCUUUGGCUACACUCUGCGUUAUGGUUGCACCUAUGGCUCCACACAUCGCAUCAGAGAUGUGGAAAGGUUUGGCGCAUAUAGAGAACAAACUUUGUACUCAUCAUAACUGGGGUGCUGAUGUGCUGCAUCAAUCCUGGCCCAAAGUAGACCCAGAAUACCUUCAACCACCAGAUGUAGUGGAGAUGUCUGUUCUGAUCAAUAACAAAGCCUGCGGCAAAGUUUUUGUGCCUCAGCAAGCAGCCCGCAAUUUUGCAGAAGUCCAUGAGCUAGUUCUUCAAAGUGAACUUGGAGCCAAGCAUCUCCAGGGACGCACCAUUAAAAAGGCCUUUCUGUCUCCAAGAACUGCCCUUAUCAACUUCUUAGUGCAAGAGUAAGACUUCGCUGGGCUGUGAAAGAGAACUGAAGUCUUUCAGGAUGAAAGCGAUUCAAAAUACCAAUGAUGGCUAUUUAGAUCUCAUAGAACGGUGGGGGAGAAAUGUUAACAAAAUUAGGUUGCUGCUGAAUAUUCAUUUCAACAAGGAGGAAUGUACAGAAUUAAAGUUUCUUAUUGAGUGAUGGAGGAAGAGGUGAAUCGUAGAUGUCACUUUGAUCCAGGCAAGAAGAAAAAUGUGGAAUGGACUCUCGACACUAAAAAAGGAGAAGUGACAAAUAGAUUGCAGUAGAAGUGUAUGGCCAGAAGUCACGCCAACGUGUUUACAGUAAGGUGAAAUUCGGUGUGGUCUAGAGGAUACAAAACGGUUUUGAAAAAGGGAAUGUGGGAGAUGAUGUGGAAAGUCUGACAGAGCUUAAUCCCCCAGUCAGUGUGCGUUUGAAGGGUGGCAGAGGUGCCAGCUGCAGAGUUUUGUGGUUGUUAUGACACCUGCUGAAAUAUUUCAUGACGUUGACCUGAUGUGAAGCACGACUGCCAUUUUUCUCACCAUAAUUGGGACUUACAGGUUUGUCCUGUGCCUAGAUUGGACCAAUACAGGUUGUGGGCUGUUAUUAACCCUCUUCAAAAUGAUGUACA